ACCGGGCGGGCACUCACGUCUCCGCAUCGCCGGCUGUCCGCCGCCAGGCUGCUGCUGGCCGUCUUGGUGGCCGCGUCGCUGGCAGCCUUGGAGCAGGCGCUGAGGACCUGCUUGCUUCAGGUGAAAGAGUCAUUUGAAAGAAGGAUUUUCAUCUCUCCAGAAGAUAUAUUGCACGGUGAUUUGCUGGCCAAACAAGCUGCUCUUCUCAAAGGUAAUAUCCUACAGGUUUACCUCACACAGACACUGCUCUGUUGGAACUGCCUGAUGGUAGCUUACAAAAAGUGGUGCCACCUUCCAGGAAUCCACAAGGGAAGCAGAGCAGGAAACGAGUAGAGAAGCAAGGAGCCGACUCAGCAUCAGCCUCUGAGUUGGGCAACUUAUCAGAGCCACAAGAAGAAGUUGAAUUUGCAAUGUAUAAAGUCAAGAACUGAAUGGAGUCCAUGUUGAUUUACCUUUACUCCUACCUUGGCUUUCGUGGACUAUAUUACACACAGGUGUACAUAAGGAGAAGCUGGGCUGCACCUACAACAUGCCUGGAAAGCCCCCUAACCUGAUCACCCAGUUCAUUCAUUGUGUCUUCUACUUUCCACGUUGAUGCCAACAGCAGUAUUGCUGUCUCUACUUCGCAACAAUCCUCUCGACUCUAAAAUUUCCUGCCAAAGUUAUCCUCCCUUUUCCUUUAGCUCUAGCAACACCUCAAUUCCACCAGGCUCCUGCCAGCAUUGUGCGCAAAGAUCUCUAAACUCUGAUGAACUCUCCUCUCCACUUUCUGUUCUAGCUGGAGGCUGCUCCAAACGCCACUUCCACAUUUCUAGUUCCAGUUUUAUCUUGUUGUUGUUGUUGUUGUUGAAGUGGAAGCAUAUUUUUUUUUUUGAUACCACGAUCUGGGUUAGUUAUCUAUUGUCCUACAGUACAGUACCCCCAACAGCAAUCGGCUUGAUGGGUGAUUUGGCCCAUGACCUUUUAUGACUGCAAUCAAGGUGUUGGCUGGGGCUGCCAUCGUCUAAAGACUGAGACGAGAUGAGACUCUGCCUUCAAGGUGACCGAUUUGCUCACACGACUGUUGAGUUGCUACAGGUUCCCGGCACGAGGACUCAGGUCCUCCCCACGGUCCUCUCCACGGAACCCUUAAAUGUGUUCAAUGUGUUCAUGACAUGGAAGUCGUUUUGCUCAGAAUGAGGACUCUAAGGGACAAAGGCAGAAGCUCUAAUGCCUCACAGGCCACACCUAUCAGCUGCCACAAUCCCACCACCUACUGGCCCCCGCUUGCCCGUGGAAGGCCGUUCCUCAUUGUAGGAGCAGCCACCCUGGUCAUCACAGCCAAUCGCACAGGGCUGAACCCUGUCAGUUCAGGGACGUGCACCUUUCUGACAGUGCUGGCUGCCUCCAGCAGAUGCCCCUGGAAAACUCUGUUGGUGCUGCUGCUGCGUUUCUGUGUCCUGGAGCUGGGCAUUGUAGCUGAAGGUGGCCACUUCCCUGGGCUUCCAGGCCACCUUCAGCUACACCUGGCCAGGGAAUGGGUCAUAGAGGUCUCUGUGGGACAGGCCCGGGUGGGUACUUGAACCCAGGUGAGGAUGUGCUCAUGGCCACCAGAGCCCCUGCUGAAAGCCCCCCAGCUGCCGCCUGAGCCCCAACACCUGCUGUUCCUCAGAGCUGAGCUCAAUGUGGCCCCCAGGGACUCUUCUCCAACACCUGGUCUCUCUGUGGCUCUACUGUCUCCCCACUCCUGUUGCUGUGAGUUGGCGUUCCCACAGAUCCCCUCUCUCCCUCCUCCCCUCCCACAGAUCCCUCCUCCAGUUAUGCACACACGGGCACACACGCACCAGCAUGGAGACUGACCUCCUCUUGGUAUCUUGGAAACAUCCUCCAACAUUGCUGUUCUGUUAUCAGUGAAACGGUGCCAUUCGGCUGGGGUCACAUCCAUCUGCGUGUAGUGACUAAAACUCCACGUCCCAUCUGGAACUGCCUGUCUGGAGAUCCUGGGCAGAUCGUGGUCGCAUGUGUAGUCAGACGACAAGGCAGGGCUCUCUGCCCAUUCCUCACACUUAACGACCCGAUUUGGUUUCUCAAGAUCCUGCUGCUAAAUGAAAAGCCAUUAAAUAAAAAUAUUUUCUUAUUUUGCUUUGAUGUUGGGGUUGGGGGGGACCAUGUAAGAAAGUGAAUAGCAAAAGGUGAGGAUCACUGGAGACUGUUUUGGAAGCUAGUUAUCACAUUUAUAAAAACAGCAAUCUUUCUCGCAUGAUGGUUAUCAACACUAAAGCAAACGGAGACAUGGAUACGAUUCAGCUUUCUUUAUUAAUUUAAAAAGUGAAAUUAGAGUCACUUGAACAAAUAACUGAGAGCUUCAUGCCUCCCCAUGGCAACAUUUGCGGUAUUCUUACCAUACUCCACA